UACGUAGGGUGCAAGCGUUAAUCGGAAUUACUGGGCGUAAAGCGUGCGCAGGCGGUUUUGUAAGUCUGUCGUGAAAUCCCCGGGCUCAACCUGGGAAUUGCGAUGGAGACUGCAAGGCUAGAAUCUGGCAGAGGGGGGUAGAAUUCCACGUGUAGCAGUGAAAUGCGUAGAGAUGUGGAGGAAUACCGAUGGCGAAGGCAGCCCCCUGGGAUAACACUGACGCUCAUGCACGAAAGCGUGGGGAGCAAACAGGAU
rnacentral:rRNA from 1 species